rnacentral:misc_RNA from 1 species
GAAAUGCGAUAAGUAGUGUGAAUUGCAGAAUUCAGUGAAUCAUCGAAUCUUUGAACGCACAUUGCGCCCUUUGGUAUUCCUUAGGGCAUGCCUGUUCGAGCGUCAUUUACACCUUCAAGCUCUGCUUGGUGUUGGGCGUCUGUCCUGCCCCCCGGGGCGAGGACUCGCCUCAAAUCUAUUGGCGGCCGGUACCGUGGCUUUGAGCGCAGCACAUCAGCGACCUCAUCGCCGGAGCGUAUCGGCUCCCAGAAGCCCAUUUCUCAUGUUUUGACCUCGGAUCAGGUAGGGAUACCCGCUGAACUUAA